rnacentral:lncRNA from 1 species
AAAAGGGCAGUCGGUAAAAAUUCAAGAAAUAAGAAAAGAAAACCGAGGAAAUAAAAGAAACAAACACAUGAUGUAACAUCGACUCUGAACCAAAAGCCCCUUAUUUUCCUUUUUGAAUCCAUACCCUAACCCAAGCCAAGCUACAACCCGAAAGACCUCAAAAGUGUGUGUGUUAUGUGUAAGUGAUGAGAAAAGAGAGACUAUUCAAACUUGUGAGUGAUAUUGCAUACUUUGAAUUAUGAGUGUAAACAACUUACCCUGAGAGAAUUGGUGAGAAUGUGAAAUAAGCUGACAGGUGAAACAAUGCUUUGAAGUGGAAGUGUGAACGAUGACUUACGAGGAUGGGCAGGACUUGUG